rnacentral:SRP_RNA from 1 species
UACUGGUCCCUUCGCGAUGAUAGGUUAUGAACCCCGCCAGGUCCGGAAGGAAGCAACGGUAGUAGCUGAUGCAAGCGCUAAAGUAUGGCUGGUGCUC